GAUGAACGCUGGCGGCGUGCCUAAUACAUGCAAGUCGAGCGAACAGACGAUGAGCUUGCUCCUCUGACGUUAGCGGCGGACGGGUGAGUAACACGUGUAUAACCUACCUAUAAUACUGGGAUAACUUCGGGAAACCGGAGCUAAUACCGUAUAAUAUAUUGAACCGCAUGGUUCAAUAGUGAAAGACGGUUUUGCUGUCACUUAUAGAUGGAUCCGCGCCGUAUUAGCUAGUUGGUAAGUUAACGGCUUACCAAGGCGACGAUGCGUAGCCGACCUGAGAGGGUGAUAGGCCACACUGGAACGGAGCCACGGACAAGACUACUACGGGACGCAGCAGUCGGGAAUCUUCCGCAAAGGGCGAAAGCUUGACGGAGCAGCGCCAAGUGAGUGAUGAAGGUCUUGGGAUCGUAAAGCUGUCUUAUUAGGUAAGAACAAAUGUGUAAGUAGAUAUGCACGUAUUGACGGUAACUAAUAAGAAAGCCACGGCUAACUACGUG
rnacentral:rRNA from 1 species